GACGAACGCUGGCGGCGUGCCUAAUACAUGCAAGUCGAACGCAGUGGGGACGGGUGAGUAACACGUGGGUAACCUGCCAUCAAAGGGGAUAACACUUGGAAACAGGUGCUAAACCGAUAUUGAUGGAUCGACCCGCGGGGCAUUAGCUAGUUGGUGGGGUAACGGCUCACCAAGGCCACGAUGCAUAGCUGACCUGAGAGGAGGAUCGGCCACACUGGGACUGAGACACGGCCCAGACUCCUACGGGAGGCAGCAGUAGGGAAUCUUCGACAAUGGACGAAAGUCUGACCGAGCAACGCCGCGUGAGUGAAGAAGGUUUUCGGAUCGUAAAACUCUGUUGUUAGAGAAGCGGUAUCUAACCAGAAAGCCACGGCUAACUACGUGCCAGCAGCCGCGGUAAUUC
rnacentral:rRNA from 1 species